UACGUAGGGUCCGAGCGUUGUCCGGAAUUACUGGGCGUAAAGAGCUCGUAGGUGGUUUGUCGCGUUGUUCGUGAAAACUCACAGCUCAACUGUGGGCGUGCGGGCGAUACGGGCAGACUUGAGUACUGCAGGGGAGACUGGAAUUCCUGGUGUAGCGGUGGAAUGCGCAGAUAUCAGGAGGAACACCGGUGGCGAAGGCGGGUCUCUGGAACGUUACUGACGCUGAGACACGAAAGCGUGGGGAGCAAACAGG
rnacentral:rRNA from 1 species